ensembl:lncRNA
AGUGUUUCAGUAACUAAGCAUCUAUUUGAUAUUUUCAUGAAAUAAAUAUACAAGAGAUUUGUAAUAGAGAUCUCUUUAUUAUAGUGCAUUUCUCAGAUGUUACAAGAUGAGUUAAAAAAGCUAAAAACAAAGGGAAAUCCUUAAUUAAAAGAAAAUACAUAUGCACACACACCUUGUGUCAUUUGUACAGAAAAUGAUCUCAAAAUGAAAGCUUCACAUCUGAACAAGGGUAGCUAACUUAAAUUGUCAAUAAAUAAAUGUUCAUCCAGAAGUUCAUAUACACUUUAAUUACUUGCCAUAUGCCGGAAGUGACGCUCAUCAUUCAAUUUAAUGGGUUUUCUUUCAGCACUAAACUCUACAAUAUCAUUACAAAAAAAGGCCAAAAAUAAGAUUAGAGUUAUUCAUUUGUUGAAAACCAUUUUCUGGAACAAUUCAUAAAAGAAAAAGAAGAAAAGAUCUAAUUGUCCAGUUGUACACAGAUACAAGGGUAAAGGUCAGUCCUUCCCCCAAGAGGUCAGUGUGGGGCUGGGACCUUAGGGUCAUCUUCAAUCAGCAGGGGGUGUGUACAGUACAGUGUACUAAGGGUUUCUCAACUAAAUUAGCAGUAGCCUUUGGAAUACAUGGGAUGUACAGAAAACCAUUUUGUCAGUUAUGGUAUACAUUUUGAAGCUGUGUGUUGAUGUGAAGAACAGCCGCAGCUUAAAUUUGCACAUGGUGACUGUCUGCUGGUGUAGUUGCUAUGGUGAUGCUGAUGGGAGAGAGUUGUCAAUGAGAGCACUGCUGAUGUGAGCUUUCCCCCCGCUGCAUGUUGUAAAGAGGUUGAUGAGGCAACCUUCCAUGGUCUAGUUACAGUACUAUUGUAUUAUAGUGCAAGCUGGUCAUGUUUCACAUGGAGCAAGGGAAUAUGUGACUACCUGUGCAGAGGAACCGGGAUAACUAACCCUGAUGACACAAAGGUCAAACAACCUGGAAAGCCCCGCAUAGGGUGUGUUAACAAUUCAGAGUUUGGAUUGUAGGCUGAAGUAAAGCGUAAUGCAUUGAAUGCCAUGAGAGCUUGAUAACAACACAGCACUAUGAGGAAUUGGAGAAGAGUGCCAUGUUAGCUCAGCUGAAAGUCAGUGGCGGCUGAAGGAAGGACGCUAAACAGGGGUUUAAUGUAAUGUCUGGAAUGGAAUCAAUGGAACGGUAUCAAACAUAUUGAACCACAUUUGACA